AGUUCAGUUAGUAGAGCAUGGCUGCAGGUCCUCUGUAGUUCAGUUAGUAGAACAUGGCUCCAGGUCCUCUGUAGUUCAGUUAGUAGAGCAUGGCUGCAGGUCCUCUGUAGUUCAGUUAGUAGAACAUGGCUCCAGGUCCUCUGUAGUUCAGUUAGUAGAGCAUGGUCCUCUGUAGUUCAGUUAUAGAGCAUGGCUCCAGGUCCUCUGUAGUUCAGUCAGUAGAACAUGGCUCCAGGCCCUCUGUAGUUCAGUUAGUAGAGCAUGGCUCCAGGUCCUUUGUAGUUCAGUUAGUAGAACAUGGCUCCAGGUCCUCUGUAGUUCAGUUAGUAGAGCAUGGCUCCAGAUCCUCUGUAGUUCAGUUAGUAGAGCAUGACUCCAGGUCCUCUGUAGUUCAGUUAGUAGAACAUGGUCCUCUGUAGUUCAGUUAGUAGAGCAUGGCUCCAGGUCCUCUGUAGUUCAGUUAGUAGAACAUGGCUCCAGGUCCUCUGUAGUUCAGUUAGUAGAACAUGGCUCCAGGUCCUCUGUAGUUCAGUUAGUAGAGCAUGGUCCUCUGUAGUUCAGUUAGUAGAGCAUGGCUCCAGGUCCUCUGUAGCUCAGUUGGUAGAGCAUGACUGUGCUUUGGAUAAAAUUGUCUGGCAUAUAGUAUGUGUUACUCUGGUUCCCAUCACCAGGGGGCAGUGUGAGUUUUGGUUCCCAUCAAAAUCAAAUAAUCACAUUUUAUUGGUCACAUACACAUGGAUAGCAGAUGUUAAUGCGUGUGUAGCGAAAUGCUUGUGCAUCUAGUUCUGACAGUGCAGUAAUAUCUAACAAGUAAUCUAACAAAUUCACAACUAACUACCUAAUACACACACAAAUGUAAAGCGAUGGAAUAAGAAUUUGUACAUAUAAAUAUAUGGAUGAGCGAUGGCCAUGCAGCAUAGGCAAGAUGCAGUAGAUGGUAUAGAGUACAAUAUAUACAUAUAAGAUGAGUGAUGUAAGAUAUGUAAAAAUUAAAGUGGCAUUAUUUAAAGUGACUAGUGAUACCUUUAUUAAAUCCAUUUAUUAAAGUGACCAGUGAUUUGGGUCUGUAUGUUUGCAGCAGCCUCUCUAUGUUAGUGAUGGCUGUUUAACAGUCUGAUGGCCUUGAGAUAGAAGCUGUUUUUCAGUCUCUCUGUACCAGCUUUGAUGCACCUGUACUGACCUCGCCAUCUGGAUGGUAGCGGUGUGAACAGGCAGUGGCUCAGGUGGUUGUUGUCCUUUUUGGCCUUUCUGUGACAUCGGGUGCUGUAGGUGUCCUGGAGGGCAGGUAGUUUGCCCCUGAUGAUGCGUUGUGCAGACCGGUUGAUGGCGGUGCAGUUGCCUAUCACCUUACCAGGUGAUACAGCUCGACAGGAUGCUCUUAAUUGUGCAUCUGUAAAAGUUUGUGAGGGUUUUAGGUGACAAGCCAAAUUUCUUCAGCCUCCUGAGGUUGAAGUGGCGCUGUUGCGCCUUCUUCACUACACUGUAUAUGUGGGUGGACCAUUUCAGUUUGUCCGUGAUGUGUAUGCCGAGGAACUUGAAGCUUUCCGCCUUCUCCACUGCGGUCCCAUUGAUGUGGAUAGGGGGCUGCUCCCUCUGCUGUUUCCUGAAGUCAACAAUAAUCUCCUUUGUUUUGUUGACGUUGAGUGAGAGGUUAUUUUCCUGACACAACACUCCGAGGGCCCUCACCUCCUCCCUGUAGGCCAUCUCGUCGUUGUUGGUAAUCAAGCCCACUACUGUUGUGUCAUCUGCAAACUUGAUGAUUGAGUUGGAGGCGUUUAUGGCCACACAGUCUUGGGUGGACAGGGAGUACAGGAGAGGGCUGAGCACGAACCCUUGUGGGGCCACAG
rnacentral:lncRNA from 1 species